GCAGGUUCUCAGCAACCUGAAGGGGCAUCUCGACUAUUCAUUUGCUUCUGCCUGGCACCCUAAUGGCCAAAUUUUAGCUACUGGAAACCAGGAUACAACCUGCAGAUUGUGGGAUGUAAGGAACCUGUCAGAGUCCUUCGCUGUACUCAAAGGGAGAAUGGGUGCAAUCAGGGCCAUAAGAUUCUCAUCAGAUGGGCAAUUUAUGGCAAUGACUGAACCUGCUGACUUUGUUCACAUAUUCGAUGCUGAAUCUGAUUAUGCCCGUGGUCAAGAGAUUGAUCUGUUUGGUGAGAUAGCCGGAAUUUCCUUCAGCCCUG
rnacentral:lncRNA from 1 species